rnacentral:pre_miRNA from 1 species
UCUUUUGUGAGGCUUGCCUUUGAUUCUCUGAGCUCUGGGAGGUGUGAUUCCCUCACCUCCUAGCUCUGAGAAUCAACAGCAAGCCUCACACACAUCGGCUGUUCUUUGAUCUCGUCUUGCAGGCGCGGGAUCCAGGACUUGUGAGGGUUGCCUUUGAUUUUCUGAGCUCUCGGAAGUGUGAUUCCCUCACCACCGAGCUCUGCACACAUCGAGAUCUUUGGCUGUUCUUUGAUCUCGUCUUGCAGGCGCGCGGGAUCCAGGAGCAGCGAUCUUUGUGAGGCUUGCCUUUGAUUCUCUGAGCUCUGGGAGGUGUGAUUCCCUCAGCUCCUAGCUUUGAGAGUCAAUUGCAAGCCUCGCACGCAUCGAGA